rnacentral:tRNA from 1 species
GGUCAGUCGGUAGAUCAUGAGACUCUUAAUCUCAGGGUCGUGGGUUCAGGCCCCAC